UUCCUCUCUCUCUCAAAACCCUAACAACUAAAAACAUCUCAUAACUAGGGUUUUUAGAGCCUCUGCAGUUCUUUUCCUCCUCCUCCUCCUUGCUCUAAUCUAAAUUAUUUCUCACCUUCUCUCAAUCAUGGGCAAAUCUAGCAAGAAAUCAACCCCCAAGGUUGAUGCAGCUCCUGCUGUAACCCCUGACCCCAAGUCUUCUAGUAAGGGUCAGAGAGAAGCGAGAGAACUUACAGAAGCUGUAGAGAAGCUUGUGAAUGCAAAGAAACGUAAGAUAGAUGACGGGGCAAAACAGGCUGUUAAGAAGGGAAAGGUUGAAGUAAAGACUCAGAAAAAGAAGAAAGAUGAAUCCAGUAGUUCUGAUGACUCGUCUUCUGAGGAAGAACAGAAGGCCAAAGUUGUAACAAAGAAGGUACAAAAGGAAACAAAAUCACCUGUUGAAGAAUCUAGUAGUGAGGAGUCAUCUUCAGAUGAGGAGGCUCCUCCCAAAGCUGCUAAAAAUGGCUCUGUUGGUGUUCCUGCUACACAAAGAAAGGGGGAUAGCAGUUCAGAUUCGUCAGAUGAUGAAUCUGAUGAGGAAGAGGUUAAAGUUGUAGUCAAGAAGGGUGUGAAGGCUACAAAACCACCUGUUGAAGAAUCUAGCGGUGAGGAUGAGUCAUCUUCGGAUGAGGAGCCUCAUGCCAAAGCUGCCCUUCCUCCAAAGAAGCAGCAACUGGAUGCCAAAAAUGGGUUAGUCAGUGCUCCUAAGAAAGGCAAGGCGGAAAGUAGCAGUUCAGAAUCUUCAGAUUCUGAAUCUGAUGAGGAUGAGAAAAAGCCUCCUGCAGUCUCCCAAGUGAAGAAGUUGCCACAAACUGGCACUAAAAAGGCAUCUGCUGCAAGCUCUGAGUCGGACUCUGAUAGCUCCUCAGAUGAGGAGUUACCUGCAAAGGCUUCAGCUCCCAAGAUUGUUCCCCAGGGUGUUACCAAUAAGAAGGCUAAAUCGAGUAGUAGUUCUGAUGAAAGUGAGAGUUCUGAGGAGAGUGAUUCUGAUGAGGAAAAGGUAUCAUUUUGCUGCUUGAAAACUUGGAUAUUGUGCAUAUUAAAAUAUCAGGAGUUUAUUUUAUCAAGGGAUGUGAAUUUAUUCCAUAGUAGCAUGUUGUAGCCAGUGAACUGAAUUGCUCUCCAUACUGUUUUUUUUGGUAAUAUGCUUCUGCAAAGGCCCCUGCUACUAAGAAGGUUGCUUUAACAGCUACAAAUAACAAAGCUCAAUCAAGUGAUGAUUCUGAUGAUAGCGAUUCUGAUGAAUCGUCAGAUGAGGAUGAGGUUAAUUCAUAUUUGUUUCUUUAAUUUAUAUGUAUCUGGUGUAUCAUUAUGAAUUUUGAAUUUUUGAAUAUUUCCCAUCCAGAUGUCCAUGAAGUUCUAGUAUUUAUUUGUCCUCUUUUCUAUUUCAAUUUUACAAACACCUUCUGCUUUCUUCUAGGGCACAACCACAAAAGCAACCAAAGCUGUUUCGAAAGUGCAGACGUCAAAAAAGAGCAAUGGGAAUGGCAGUUCUGAAAGCGAGUCUGAUGACUCUGACUCUGAUGUGUUGACUUUUUGUCUGGGGCCAAGGGAGUUGGAUCUCAAGAUUUGCUGGCUGCUUGUGGAAUGGGCUUGGAUUUGGACUAACCAUCACCAAAAUGGCUAAGCUCUUUUGUUUUGGUUGCCUUGAAUUUUAUAUGGCUUUCUUUCUUUAUCAUUUGCUGUGUGGGACUUUGUCCCCUUAACCUCACUUCCAACAUUUCCCCUCAAGUGCAACUAAGCUUGGCCUGUUGAGGCCCAAUUAUCACUUGUAUUGUAUCCUUGAUGGCCUUGCACUUGUGCUCCUCCCUUUUUCAGCUCAGUCCCAGGAUCUUUGUGGCUGUUGGGCUUAACCGCUUUGAUACCAUGAAGAAACUUGUAAUUGUAUUGAUUCAUUCUAAUGAUUACAAAGGUGUACAUAUAUAGUUAUAGAAAAUAAUCCUAUCUAAAAGGAAAAUAAAUAUUAUAAAAUCAGUGAGAGAUUACGUCAAGAUUACAAAAUAUUCAGAAUUCAAAUUAAGGUAAAAAUAAAGCAGGAAAUGAGGUUGAAAUGAAGGUGAAAUCCAAGCUGAAUCAUAGGAGAAAAUCUCUGAUUCCAACAUGAGGUUAAUGUUUGCAAAUUUUGUGUCUUUUCCCUCUUAAAUUACUAGAAGGGAAUGCUUUCAAUUGUUAUGAAUUUAUGAUGUUCUAUCAUUUUCAUUUGCUGCUGGCAAGUAUCGUUGCACAAUUUUGUGCUGUAGGUUAAGAUAGCUCAAAAGGAAAGCAGCAGUUCUGAGGAGAGCUCCAGUGAUAGUUCAGAUGAUGAAGAAGAAAGCGAGGAUGAUAAACCUGUGAAAACCCCAAAGAAAAAUGGCGCUGAUGUGGAAAUGGUAGAUGUUGCAACUCCACAGGCAACUGCCAAGAAGGCUGAUUUGCAAUCUGCUAAGAAAGCUCCCAAAACUCCAGUUACUCCUGAGGUUCAGUCUAUGGGAUCAAAGACAUUGUUUGUUGGCAACUUACCUUUUCAAGUUGAACGAGCUGAUGUGGAAAGUUUCUUUGAAGGUGCUGGUCAAAUUGUUGAUGUGCGCUUUGCUAUGGACAACGAUCAGAGGUUUAAGGGCUUUGGACAUGUUGAGUUUAGCACAGCUGAAGCAGCACAGAAGGCUCUUAAAUUGAAUGGUCAAAGUUUAAAUGGCCGGCGACUUAGACUUGAUUUGGCACGUGAAAGGGGUGAAAGGGGUUCGUUCGCACCUUAUAGCGGCAGCAGAGACAAUAACUCAAUUCAUAAGGGAGGGAGAGGCCAGGCUCAGAAGAUAUUUGUCAGGGGGUUUGAUAAGUCCCGUGGUGAGGAUCAGAUUAGGAGUGCCCUUGGGGAGCAUUUUGAAGCUUGUGGAGAGGUUACUAGAAUAUCUAUCCCAACAGAUUAUGAGACUGGUGCUAUUAAGGGGAUGGCUUACUUGGAAUUCAAGGAUGCUGAGGGUUUCAACAAAGCUUUAGAGCUUAGUGGCAGUCAACUUGGAGAUCAGUACUUAACUGUUGAAGAGGCAAAACCACCAAGGAGUGAUAACCGUGAUGGCUGGGGUAGUGGCAGCAGUGGAGGCCGAAGCAGUGGAGGGAGGAGUGGUGGUAGAGAUGGUGGUGGCCGUUUUGGGGGUAGAGGUGGUGGUCGUGGCAGAGGACGUGCAACACCCAAUAAGCCUAGGGUGACUGCAGCCGCCACAGGGAAGAAGACAACAUUUCAAGAUGAUGAUGAGUGAAGGUAGAGUAGAGAACAAUUGAAGUAUGUUUGCCUAAUUUGAAGUGUUAAUUUUUGGAAGCCUGUUGGCCCACAAGAUUUUGUUUGGUUUGUUGACUUAGCAUCAGGUGGUAUUUGAAUUUCCAUAUUAUCUUAUACUUAAAUGGGUACAAUGAUAGUUUGUAAUUUCCAUGAUUAUUUUCUAUUUAUUCAAAUGAAGUUGGUGAUUGCUUGUAUAUGUGCAGGAUAGCGGUGCCUAAUACCCUAUCAUUUGCCUAUAGAUUAGAAAUCUUAGGAUCUGACCUUAAAAAAUGUAUGUUUCACAGCUAAAAAUGUUAGUACUUGUUCACUGAAAAAGUUU
rnacentral:misc_RNA from 1 species